rnacentral:rRNA from 1 species
UUUGUAUAAUGGGUCAGCGACUUAUAUUCAGUGGCAAGGUUAACCAUCUAGGGGAGCCGUAGGGAAACCGAGUCUUAACUGGGCGUUCAGUCUCUGGAUAUAGACCCGAAACCAGGUGAUCUAGCCAUGGGCAGGUUGAAGGUUGAGUAACAUCAACUGGAGGACCGAACCGACUAAUGUUGAAAAAUUAGCGGAUGACUUGUGGCUAGGGGUGAAAGGCCAAUCAAACCUGGAGAUAGCUGGUUCUCCCCGAAAGCUAUUUAGGUAGCGCCUCGGACGAAUACUACUGGGGGUAGAGCACUGUUAAGGCUAGGGGGUCAUCCCGACUUACCAACCCUUUGCAAACUCCGAAUACCAGUAAGUACUAUCCGGGAGACACACGGCGGGUGCUAACGUCCGUCGUGGAGAGGGAAACAACCCAGACCGCCAGCUAAGGUCCCAAAUUACUACUAAGUGGGAAACGAUGUGGGAAGGCUCAGACAGCCAGGAUGUUGGCUUAGAAGCAGCCAUCAUUUAAAGAAAGCGUAAUAGCUCACUGGUCGAGUCGGCCUGCGCGGAAGAUGUAACGGGGCUAAGUAGUAAACCGAAGCUGCGGCAAUAUACUUUUGUA